AGAAAAUGCUGGGUAGAGUCCAAUGCAUCGUGCACAUGGAAAUAGUCAGAGCUCUGGUACCUGAUACGCUGAUAGGCUGAGCAGCAAACAAACAGCUAUGCAGGGCUAGCGCGGGAGUUGGAAGCGUGACUUCUCAUGCUGCUGAAAGCAGUAUUUGUCUCCUGCAGCUGCUGUGGAGCUGGGAUGAAGGGGUCCUCAAACCAUUCUGUUGUUUUGGAAAAAGACAGACCCAAAGUCGUGCUACUGAACUGAAGGUGCUGUGCUGUGUUGUGAGCAGAGAAGGAUGCAGUAUGUUUUUUUUACAUGUUGUAGUCACUUUGUCACUGUUUGAAUUGUCAGGUUUGUACUCGCACUGAGUCUUGGAUUAGCAGUGCUACAAACACAGGAACACUGCUCAAUUGUUUCUUUCCCUCUGAGUCCACCCAGGAUGGGCCGUGCAGCUGGUUACCCUGGUGGUGUCCUCUUACAAACCUCAGGUUAAAGCUGUUAGUAAUGAACAAUCUGUAGAAGUAACAGUAGCAAUGGUUGUUCCGCUUAGCACUUGUCUGGUUUAGUGCCUUGAUACCUACAGGGAAGUAUGUAUCAAAUCACAGACAGCAGCCAGGGGAGCUGAGGAGCAGAGGCGCUGUCAGCACUGGAGGACAGGGUAAAGACUCUCGGAUGCAUCCUGAGCAAGGCUGGGACUGGAUGUGUGGUCCAGGCACAGCUUCAGAAAAAACGGUUUAAUUUGAAUGGGUUUUAGAAGCUUGUGUUGGUACUUACAUUCUGCUAAGGUACCUGGAUGCAGAGAUGAAGUGCUUAAACCCCUGUAGCAGCAGGGAGCAGAAUAUGUCUCUACUGAACAUGGUGACUGAAGUGCAAGGGAAACUGCUUUCUUUGUGCGGCUGCAGCACCUGAGUUUUGGGAGAGGGGUUUGCUGCUUAUGUUUAAGUUUGUAUUUAACAGUCAGCCUUUGUAAGAACUGCUAGCACUGCUUCCAGUGUUGUGGCUGAAGGUGUUCUUGCAGUGACAUGAGAAAAGCAACUGCCACUUCCUCUUGGCCACCCUCCCUCCCGGCCUUUGCGCGCUGUGCCUGCGCCUGCUGCUCACCUGAUGAGCCUCACCUGAGGCUCUGUGUCCUGCUGGGGCUCUCCAGCCUGUGGCUGCUUGGGCAGCUCUCUGUGCAGGGUGGGUGGCUGCAGCUCUCUGCUGGGAGUGGAGCGAGCUGAGAGCCAGAGGGUAAGAGAAGAGGCUUUGGACAGGGGUGAGGUGGGGGUAGGACCAAAUGUGCAGUUUUAUAGUUUGUCCAGCAUGUUUUUCAGUCUCUGGGCUGCUCAGCCUGUCUUUGCCUAGCUGUUUUGUUGCUGCAUGGUGAGGGCCUAUUUCUCACAAUGGCUGAGCAAAUGCAUACGAAGAGAGGACAAAAGAAAUUCUGCUUAUGCUGACUUGCGUCUGGCAAGAUAACAAACAGCUGCUUUAGACCAGCACAGUGGAGGCUGACCCUUAAAGCAGCACAGUGGUUCAAUGGGACACCACAGCUGGGAACCGUACAGCCAUGCAGAGCAGCUUUACAGUCUGUGAGUCUGACCAAACUUGGGUCAUCUGUCUCUUUUCUCACAUUUUAACUCUCUUCACCUCCCUCUCCUCAAAUAGAUCUGGAAAGCCCCUUUCCCCUUGCUUCUUCCCGUGCAACGCUGGGAAUGUGUUUCCAUUUUGUGACUGCAUCUUCAGGACACAUCAGGGAGCUAGCAGGCUGCCUUACUUGCUUACUUGCUCUGAAUUGCAGAACUGCUCUCAUAUGUCAGGAAUCAUGCAGCAGGAAGCCCUGCCCUUACAAUGAAGUGGGUACGGUUUGGACACCUUCUGACUGAAGGGCUGCACAUAGAGGAAGAGCCCUGCAAACACUGGUGGCAUACAGCGUUCUGAAAGCUUUUCCCAGCAGCAGACGCACACACAGGAUGAGACACAAUGGUCACUUCUGUAGACAGAUGCUGGGGGCAACCUUGGCCACAAGGCACCAGUGAAGCUUUGGUAUGGCAGCACAGCUUUGUGCCACUGCCGUUUGUGUGCUUGCAAAGCCCUUCUUUGGCUGAGCAGGUCUCUGUGCCAAGAGGAAGCGUCACUAUUGUUUCAUCACUUCUGAAAGGCCAGCAAAUUCAGACUACAUACCACAGUAUAUAUAUGUAUAUAUAUAUAUAGAAAUAACUUUUAAUUAAAAAAACAACCUUGCAUCAAAGAUUAUAGUAUCAGACAUUGAGGCAAGAUUCAAGUUUAAGACAAACCAGUGUUAAAAAAAAAAAAGUUUAAAAAAAUAAUCAGAAUGUGCAAUAAACUACAAUGUAGCAAUAGGUUGUAGUGUUGAAACUUUACUGAACUGUUUUCAGAUGUCCAGUGUAUAUUUCCUGUCAUUCUGACAAAAAAAAAAAGAAGACACUAUAACUGGGUCAUCUGUCCAGUGCCGUUCAGUUCCAGAUAUUACACACAGAAGAAACUUGUGCACAAAAACAGAGACUCCUAUAAUAUUGCCUUCAACUGUCCUACACAGAAAGAACUUCCCUUCGGUAAAUUAUACCUACAUUCAAUGCUUAAUCUUUGUUAAUACCUCUUGAGAUUGCAGAUACAUUCCAAACUAUCCUAUUUAGAUGCAAGUUGAAACAACUUGCUUUUCUUUACUCACUGUGAACUCGCUGGGAAAUUAGAACUCCACCCAGCAUCACAGCGGAGAGCUUUUGGGCUUUUUUCCUUACUGGUCUUCUAGCCAUCAGCCAUCUCUUCCUUUUCAGCCAGUCACCAAAUGUUGGCAUACUUAGAGACUCUUGCAAGGCACUGUACAGAAAUUACAAGACUUUUUGUCUUUAACAUAUGAAAGCAAAAUAUUACGAGCCUCCUUUGCUACUGAAGGACUAAAGAAGGGAGAUGACCCAGAAUGCAAUAUUCAGAGAGCUCCUCUUCUCUUCCACUUCUCUACACCCAUAUGACAAACAGGAACCCUACUUUCUGAGUAGCAGAUACGUGGACUAUUGAAAUGCAGUGGUCUAUUUCUAUCUUAUUGCUUGAGGACGUCUAUACAAAACACGCCCUGGCACUACUGAGAGCUGAGCACAGAUUUUAAGCUAAAGGCAAGGCUUCCACACCGCCUGCUUUCAAACUGCUGCUUCUCACCUGCCCUUCUCUUACGCACAGGUUACACACGUGCAUUUGAGGAGAGGGGGAUUUUCUGCCACAUGUUCACGCCACGCAGGAAAAUAAUGAGUGGUUAUCGUUCCUCCCCACUAUAUUGUCAAGUAGUUUUUCUGUGUUCAGUUGAAGCUGUUGGUUUAAGGUAGACAGCAUAUCCUGCCGCACCAGAAUUGACUGGAACCAGAAACGCGUUUGAAAACAAACAAGACAAAAAAGGAUGAUCACUAACAAAUGUGGCGAUACGACAACAGAAAGCAGCGAAUGCUGCCAGCAAUUUAUGUGUGCCCACUCCCAACACUGGGAAUAUUAGACUUCCAGCUUGAAAUAAUUACUUUCUCUUGGGGUUCAGGAAGAAGAAAGUGUUGUCUUUGGGAUUUAUCCUGCCUGUUACAAAGCAAGAAAGAAAAUAGAUUAUAUGCAGCUAACGUACAGGUUUUGAAUUGUGCUGUCAUAUGCUGUGUGAACAAGAGAGAUUUUACCUUACACUUUUCUCCACCUUAAUUGGCUUUCUUAAUGAACCACAUUACUCCCUGUCACCUUUGCUUUCUUGUACUGUUGAUUCCCAGGCAAACAUUUUCGCUCUCUUCUGACUCUUCUGUGGAUUGUUUUCGUGCUGGAAGGCCAUUGUCUGGCAAACCAAUGGGCGUACACGGAGCACAGGGAGAGUCGCUGGGGAAAGCUGCACUUGACAUUUCAGUCUGAUUUGUUAUUUGAUCCUGGCACAGUAAAGCUUCCACCUCUUCGUCUUUUAGUGGAAAAACUCGAAGUUCCCACAGCCCAGACUGAAAGGAGUCAGAGAAAAGAGGAGAAAAAGGGAUUUUGGUCCAGUCUGAACUGAUUAGCUAUGUGCAGAAUGAUCUGCUAUCAAGUUACAAACGAGCGUCAUUCUUUACAAUAGUUUGCAGGGCUUUUCAGAUACAGAAUACGACACUACGAGGCACCAGCUGUCCCUGUAAGCUGGUUUCGUGUGGUUUUGAACUAGUAACUGAGCUGUGACGGUACUGGCACAGCACAGGAAGGGGAAGGCUCUUUUCCCUGCUGCCAGGCAUCAGGUACCUGGCCAUGACAUGCUUGGGCCUGUCUGGAAUGCCAGCCAGCAGCCCUGAGGAGAGACUGAGCAGCCCUGAGCCCAGGCCUGCCACACUCACCUCUAAAACAUGUGCUGUGUUUGCUGAGCACUGAAAACUUUCCCUGUUGACAGAUGUUAGGUUUCAUUCAUCAAACACACACAUCUAAACAGGAGCGCUACAUUCGGUCUACACAAAGUAGGGUGACAGCCACAGGUCUGGAGCAAGGAGGGACACGGAUACGCUCAAGCUCCAAGUUUUAGCUAAAGAACCGGAGGUCACUCAAGUCCUGAACGGACUGGAAGCUACCAGAACCACCCACCUUUGCUUCCUGGCUCUCCCUGCGGAGUUGUGCAAUCCCUGAACAAACAGAGCUGUGGGCUUCAGAAGUCAGGUCGGGAACAGGUUCAGCAGCGCAGUGCAGCGAGGCACAGGAGCUGCCGGGGUGGUCCUUCUGCACCGAAUCUUGGCCGUGUCGUCCAUCAGCAUUUUUGCCGUACGAUCUAGCACGGGAUAAAAGGGGCAGGAGUCUUAACACCUGGUUCCUGCCCUUGCACAACACUGAAAACAGUCUGUAUGUGCUACCGAAGCUCUACUUAUUUAAACUAAAAGAAACGAAAAUGCAUGGUUCUCGACAGCCUUGCUGUUGCACAGAGCGCUGUGCAGAGGAGGGAACUGGAUAAGCACGGCUGAACAGCCAUGCUCUGGCUGCACAACAACUCAGGGCUGGUCCUGCUUGGGAGCACAGCAUUGCUCACAGGCACCUGCUCCUAACCACACUGCCUUCUGCUGUGCCAGCAUAACGCAGAACAGCAGGCUGCAGGCUCUCCUAGUGCACAGGAUAGGUGUUACUCUCUCAAUCUUAUCACACAGACUAAGCUAACUUUGCGUAUUUAUUCAUAUGAUCACAGUUCGCUUUCAGUCAAGAACAGACAUGGCUUAUGAUGAAUGGCAAAAACACUUAUCCCAACAUUUACAGGAUGGUUUUUGUUCUGGCAGAUGAUGAAGCCAUUUAUGGGAAUCAUUUUCCCAGUGCUGAACUGCAGACAGAGCUAUAGGAUGCUCACUCUUACAUGCAAUAUUGUUCUCGAGAGUUUUAGGGAGAGUUCUGCACCACAUAGCAGGCCUGUGAUAACGAACCUUUUCAUUACCAGCACACGACUGCUUAAGCAUAAGGUCCCUGGCACAGCCAGUCAGCUCAGUGAAGAAGGGCUCCUGCUGCACCGUGUGGCUCAAGUCACAGCUGGGAGUGGCACAAACUGAUCAGUAUGGGAACAAAACCUUAUCCACUAAUCACUAACACACCAGAUUUCUGUAGGUUCUGCGUGCUUUAGAACUGCAUGGCCUUCUUUUGACAACUCAGGAUUAGACCUAGUACUGGCCCUGACAAGCUAAUUCACAUGCCCUUCUUUUCUCUGUCACAGUUCCCUGUGACAGCUGUGCCAACAGCCAUCAUGAUUAGCUGAGCAGGAACACCCCUAGCCCCAUCAGUACACCUGCCUGCUGUUCCUUCUGGGCCAGCGGCUCUGCUCCCACAGCGACCACCUCGCUCGCUCUCUUUCUUCAUACUUGGUAUGGCGUGAGGAAAACACUUCAUCUGACAGAUCUUCUGCCUGUAAUGAGAAAGGAGGGAGAGACGGCUGCUGCUGUAAUUAGGAACUUCUCUAGAAACGAAGGUUAUAUGUAAUUCUAUGGAGGUCUGUUUGAGAGAGGAUGCAUGCUUGCAGUAUGAAGGCACGUCAAAAUAAUGGGAUGUCGUCACAGUUUAUUUCUUCAUGUGCCUGUGGUGUAUCUGAAUCAAUACAGAAAUUGUGCCCCCUUCCACCUAAUGCAUGUUUUCCUAUGGUGGGAAGCAGCAAAUUAAAAGGACAGGUAUCUAUAAUGAAGACAGGCAAAAAUUCCAGAACUUUCCAGAGCCUGCUGCAGGAGGGGGCUGGGAGGCAGAAGGAUUUGCCAGGUGCUCUUUAAGCACAGAGCAAUAGGUCUGAGCUCAGGAGGCCGGGAUAGCUCCACACAGAGAGGCACACAGCAAACCUGAGGUGCUGCAUUCCUGCUAGGAAACCAAGCAGAAAAUCGCGUCUGCUUUGAAGAGAGCGCUUAGCGAGUGAUCUGCACGACCCAGGUACGACUUCACACAGACCUAACAGAACUGUAUUUUAACUGCUCACGGUCAAACGAGCCAGCUUGUUUGAUACAGACUCCUCAGACGCACAAAGAACUCCUCUCUGACCUUCACUUUGAAAGAGCCAGCUUCAUUUCUCCUGCUGCCUACAGGUAGCUGGGCAAGGAGCACGGUGCUGGCCGUCCUUCUCCCUCCCCAGAUGAGGGUGAGCCCUUGGCUGGGCCCCUCCAGCACUCCAAGCCAUUCAGCCACCUCAGAGUUCACCUGAGAGCUGAGGCUGGCAAGAGCAUGCGUGUGCUGCAGCCAUGGAUUUUUAUGCCAGCUGCUCCCAACUCAAAAGCAGCGAAAUUCUAGGAAACAAUUCCUGUUCAUAAACUGCAUUGCCAGACCAUUCCCGGACAAGAGCUAUACAAGAACUGAGGGUCAUGGAAAAUAAAUGUGAUUUUCUAUGAAAACAAAGUUCUCAUGGCUGUUACACAAGCAACGCGAUUCAUCUUCUCACUCCAUCUGAUAAAACACAGAACCAAAAAGCAGAGUCUUCACUGCUCUGCCAGAGACAGACAGGCCGUCAGCUGGAUUUACGCUGCAGCAGACAACUGGUGCCCCCAGGUCUUCUGCAGAAGCCAUUCCCUGCACAAGGACUUGCAGCAUUGAAGCAGUGCAUUACCAUUAUGGCUGCAAAUGCAAAAUACUACAAUGCAUUUAUGCUGCUGCAAACAUAUGCUCUAGUGGCAUUCCUCAGCUUCCCAGGGACCACGGUUCCACCCUAAGCUGCUGGCCAUGACCUACAGCCCCACAACCAAAUUCAGCUGGCUUGGUGAAAAGGGCCCCAAAGUUGCAAUUCGGUGCAGUUUGAAUCGGCCAUGGGAGCCAUUUGCUAAAACUGUAGCUGCCUGCUUCCUCCUCAGCUCAGCACUCAACAGGAACCUUCAGACAAACAAGCCUGCUUUGUUUGCCCAGCUCAUGAUUUCUUUUUGAAGGCUCCUCAUUGUUUUUAUGUAUUUAUGUUGAACACAAACCGCUUUGUUAGCCGUUGAUUUCCCUUCAUGGAAGUCAACCUCAUGUGUUUCCUCCUCUCUCUGGACUUCACCAGUUCUGUCCCUUGGAUGGCAUCGGUCAGGGUCUGCACCUCAGUUUGGAUUUUGCUUUUCCAAGGUCAGUGAUGUACAGUGCAAAAGUGAGAAUUUUAUGGACUACCAAAGUGUUAUUCCCUGAGGGAACAUUUGGGAUUUUUCUGUGUGCUCCAUUUCCUUUGAAGUGCAAACAAAAGAUAAUUCUGAAAGAAAAACUUAGACUUUGAAAAUACUUUUCUUAGCAAAUUGCCAGAACCUUUCAUGCUGGGAAGAAACUUCAUUUUUAAUGAGCUUCCUUUCAAAAUCAAAGCCUGCAUUCCUCUGCCAGCCAAGAGUUCUGCAGUACUGAAAUAAGCCUUACUGUACCUCUUCCGUGGCUGACAGCAGAGAUUUAACUACUUGCUUAUUUAAGUUUUACUCUCUUCCAUCCAAAACUGACCACUAAUGCAGUUGAUAUUAGAAUUAUUAUUUGUUCCACAGACAGAAUGCAUAAUGUGUAUGCUACAGCAUAGAAGGUCUCUACUUGAUUCAGUACAGCCUUUGCCACUCCCUAAGACUUUAUAUAUUUCCUCCACCAACUUUAGGUGAAUUUGUACUUACUAUAGCUGGAGCAAUUUGAUUUUUUUCCCCACCAAGAAUAGGUUGAGAAAGGCCAAAGAACUGUCAUUACUUGUCAGAAGGCUCUGGCAGUGACGUUGAGAGCAAAGGCUGGAAGGUCUCUUUGUGAAGCACAUGUAAGGAGCAAAGAACAAGACUUUGCUUCCACUGAGGUGUGAAUUCUCUCCAUCUCAUCUAGCUAAGCUACAAGCACUGGGCAUUCACGUUGAAGGAGCAGGAACAGCACCAAGAAACAGUGACCAGGAAUAGUACUGAAAAGUUCUCAAAACAAAGCCAGUGCUUCGGUCUUCUGCUCCGUGGGAAACGCCAAGUCACACACCACAAAAAUACUUAGGCAAAACUAAUUACACAAAUAUUCUGAAGUACUUGUCAUUACUAGAACAGUGACAAAAUAGACUUUUAAUGCUCUUCUAUACCCUCGCCCUGCCAGAAACUUUAACCUAGACAAAACAAAACAGGAAAGCCCAUACCACACCCUCCCUUGCAUUAAAGCGGUAACAGGCUACAAAUUCAUACAUGCAGACCAGGAAAUAGAAAGGCUGCAUGUCCAAAACCUACGUAUUUUUAGACUGAACAAUAGAGCAAACAUAGAUAGCAGAUCAACUGUUAGAUUGUCCAACUUCUGUGUUUGUCCUUGUAAGGCAAAACUUCCAGAAACGAGAACUAGGUACCCAAAAAAGGUAAGGCCUUUGUACUCAAAUGAACGUGUUGUGAACAGGGAAUUGCUGAGUUUCUAUCCUUGCAAGUUCAGCUCUUGCAGAACCUGACAAACGUGGGACUCCGUGUUUGCUUUUAACUUGUGGAAACUUUGGGUACAAAACUGUUGCAUCAAGUGGAAGAGAUCCUAACUGCUGGUUGACACAAGGAGUUCUAAAUUUAGCCAGACAGAAGACAAGUGGGAAAUGCAACUAUUCUAUGGUACCACCACAGGCCGCUAUGUAGUAGAAAGCAAAGAAAAAGCUUACAUUUCUACAGAAGCAGACAGUACGUUUUGCCCUUUCUCUUCUUCCACAAAGAUCUGCUGAGGCUCACCAAGGAAGAACUUCAAGAGAGUCAGAAUGUGAGCGAAGAAAAGAAGAAAAGGUAAUGCUCCUGUUCUCUCAUGCCUUUUCUCAAGCUUACUCAGUAACAGAACUAAGUCAGCCCAAAACCCAAGCAAGGCAACGGAAGAUUUAUGAUCAGACAACCACCUUUUCUCAGUGCUCAGAAAAACAUCCCAACCAAUUAAUAUGAUCCCAAAAGAAAAAGGGAAAAUUGGCAAAGGACAACUUAGAAGAGUAAGCUCUUUAUCAUUUUCCUCAUCUGACAUCUCUCUCAUUCUCCCCAGCAGCUGACAGACAAUAUUGAAGCAGCGGACCACAGCAGGAGGCAAAGCUGCUUUAUUGUACUCAAGUUAUUUCCUGGCCAAGUGAUGAAUCAUACAGGCUGAACUAGGAAUGCCAAACACAAAUGUACUGGGAGGGCUAUUUAACAGUAAGUGCACACGCUUCACGGAGAGACACCCUGAAGUCCAUUCAGCAUUAUGUUUAGCAUUAUCUUCUGUACUGCUACAUAAAUGCAGAACUUUCCACUAAUAAGGCCCCUAAGCCCCUUGAAAAAUGAGCUCAAGAAUAGAUAUUGUAGAUGAAGGUAUAAAUGCUAAUCCUAUAGCUACAGCAGUUGGUAAUGGCCUAUAGCAGAGACUGGAGAGAGACUACAGAUGUCCAAAGGACAGUAAAACUGGCAGGCUUGUCUUUUGACACUCAAGGGGAGCCACAGUCAGACAGGAAGAACAGAAAAGCAGCCUAGUGAGCAGACCGGCUGCUAUGUGCACACUGGGGCUAGGCUCAGGCUCAUCAUUAGGGGAGAAAAAAACCCCUCAGCCUCUAAGUCCACAGGCACUCCCUGAAGGAAAAAGGGGAAUUUUUUACUUCUGGAGAAAGCAACAGUAGUAGCACAUGGUGUGCAGACGUGGCAAAAAGACGGGCAGGAAAUGCCAAAGGUUAUGCUGUUCCUGAGAAAGCAGAAAAGUUUGCUUCCAGCAGGAGGGUUGAAAGAACACUGACAAGAAAACCUGAUGAACCUUCUGGGCCUGCAGGCAAAAUGCCAAAUUACCUCUUGAAGGGCAAGUGCCCAUGGGAACCGGCCAUGAAGGAAAAGGACAAGACACAGUAUAGCACAGGUAGCUCCAGAGGCAGUCACAGUAGCAGACCCAACAUCUGAAUGCUAAGGAGCAGGGGACCCUACGUGAGCUCUGACUGUGCCAAUGGCAAGAUACAUAGGAGCUAGAUGAAAAAGCAAUUAUUAAUGGAGAUACUUGCAUUUCUGUCAUCCGCUACAGGGUCAGGUGGGUUGGGGUAGGACAUUCCCAAGUUCUGACACCCAAUACUUUGUUUUUUGAAAUGUGAAACUCACCAGGAUUUGCACAAUGUUGGUGACUUUAGAAAAUACAUCCUGAUUAUCCCAAUUAUACAUCUACUUUAACCAUGCAGUUGGUUGAAUUAAAAUACAGCUUACCUCUUCUUCAUCUGCAUGAGAUCUUUCCAAAGGUUCUAAUUCAACAACUCUCCAGCUAGAAGUGAAACAAGAGAAGUCAAUUUACCUAAAAGCUGAGUCAUUGUUUCAGCUGUAAAGAAUCACAAAGUCACCAAGGUUGGAAAAGACCUCUAAUAUCAUUGAGUCCGACUGUUCACCUGCCACUGUGUUUCCCCAUGUCCCAGGUAGUACAACAUCUAAUCAUUUCUUCAACACCUCCAGGGAUGAUGACUCCACCACCUCCCUGGGCAGCCUGUUUCAGCACCUCACCACUCUUUCAGAGAAUAUUUUUUUCCUAAUGCCCAACCUGAGCGUCCCCUGGCGUGACUUAAAGCCAUUCCCUCUCAUUGUAGUUAUGCAGGAGCAGAGGCCGACCCCCCACCUCACCACAGCCUCCUUUCAAGGAGUUGUAGAGAGCGACGAGGUCUCCCCUGAGCCUCUUCUUCACACUGAACAACCUCAGCUCCCUCAGCCACUCCCCACAAGACUUGUGCUCCAGACCAUCACAGCUUUGUUGCCCUUCUAUGGACACGCUCCAGGGUCUCAAUGAACCAAAUGCACACAAAAGACAGCAAUCUCAUGUAACUGCUGAGAGGGUCAGCCCAAUAGCAUACUUAAGCCUAUAAGUAUCACUGCAAUUAAGAUGAUGUAAAAUCCCUUCUAUUUUUAGCCAGCCUCCGCAGCUGCCAUCACUGUGCCUAUUGCUUUAUUUCCCUUGUGCCAUCAGCUGACCGGUCUUCCUACCACCCAUCUUUUCACCCACUCCUAUACACAAAUUGAAAUGUAUUGUAAAAAAACAACCACCAAGCAUAUGAGAAGAUCACCUUAGUACUGUAACAUUAUCUGACUACAAGUCAUCAAUAUCCUUAAUGCUGUCACAUUCAUUUUGCCACCUACUUUGCAACUGAGGUCAUGAACAAACCUUGGCGUCAGGAUUUCUUUGUACUGCAGUUUCUCCAACUUUGACGGUGCCACCAGUGACAUUGGAAUAACAAUGUUGUCUAUAUCAUAGGAGCUCUCACUUCUCAGCCUCCUCCUGGAGUUAUGCUGUGUAAUAGAAUCAAUUCAAGAUUCAUUGGCUUACAACAUAGCAACUAAGUUAACUGAGAAAUAAUACAAGUGCAUAAGAAGAAACUCUAACUUCAAGAGACUCUGGAGGUCAAAUGACUAUUUUUUUUUUUUUGUUUAAAAAGGGAAUUUCAACCAAUCUUUAAACCAUCUCAUCAGUGAGAUUUACUCCUUGCUUUCAUAACUCUUUCUGAAAUCAGUGGGUAUUUCCCUAAUUUCAAUUACUGUUAAUUUUGAAUAUUUAAGAGAUCUUCAAAUGUAAUGCUCCCUUUUUCCUAACUGAAUUUCUUUGCCAUGAUCACAGCAGGGUUCCUGGUGUUCUGUGCUCAGUAGUGCAUGGAACCUACAGGGAUAAAAAUGAGCUUCCUUGAUUACCAGAGAGAGUUUAGCUUUGAAUCAUGAUAUAUUACAUAAUAUAAUCUCUCAAUUUUUAGCUGAAUGGUAAUGGAAAGAGAUCUAUUCUAAAAUACUGAGGUAGGUGUUCUUCAAAGAUGGCUUCAUCAAAGAAGAGAGAAUAAGAGAUCUGUGCAUGGCCCAAAUUGCCUGGAAGAUGUUUAUCUGAAUUCAGUUUUCCAGCCAUCAUCACCAGAUUAAAACUCAGCAGGCACCAGCACAGCACUAGGACAAACAGAACUGGAGGCCUGAAACCUGAGGAGCAAAAUGAAUUUGUUCAUUGCUUCCAACAGAAUUAAAAUGAAGUUUCUUCAGGGAUUUUGCUGAGUCAGAGCUCUGCUGCUCCUCAGCAGAUUUCUAUACCAGAGACUUUGCCAGUCGUACAGCACAGAGGUUUCAAACAGAAAAGCUGAGGCUUAACAAGCACUGUGACUGUAUCUGCACCAAGAAGACAGUGUUUAAAGAGCUCGUAUGUAAACCUGGAAGCAUAAAUUAGGGUAUAUUCAAUGAAAUUUGAAGAAAAAGGAAAAUGGAAGGCCCAGUGCCAGUAAUAGAAACAUUCACUUUAGUUCUAUCAUCUGUAAAACUCUUUAACAAACAAUUAUCUGUUUUCCAAGCCCACAUAAUCCGUCUGGAAUAAUUUACUUAAUGUAAGAAAGGUUCUUUACUGUAACUUAGCACUAAAUUAGAUAUAAAGGGCACAUAUUUUUGAUGAUUAUUUGCAACUCCGUUAACAUUUCAGCCAAGACAGGGAUGCAUUUUUCUUUUACCUGUGAUGAAGUGCUGUGAGUGGGCCUAGACAUCGCAUUGAUAUUGGUCACGGCUGCAAAACUGCUAGGGGAUUCUGGUUCUGCAUGUUGAAAGGAGAACGUCUCAAACCUGGUGUUACGUUCGCCUGUCACAAAAGAACAGUUAGAAAAAAAAGGCAUACCGCCUGUUGUCUAUUAGAGCAAGGAUAUUUUUCCAUACAGUAAUAGUAAAGACAUUUCUAAAAGCCCACAGCUAUCCACUUGAGAUUUAAUGAAUGCUAAAAAAAGCUGUCUAAAUAAACACUUGUUACUCAUCCUGUCAUUGCUGCUCCACAAAACUCAUCCCUUUCCUUCUCCUAAGGAUUUCUUCUGCUGGAACCAACUUCAUAUGGGCAAAUCCUGCUUCUUAUUACAGAGCCCGUCCUAGACUACACACAGCAAAUCCAAUCAGACCUAGAAGAAUGCUUCCCAGCAUCCCCUAAGAGCACUUCAUGUCUCUGAUGUACCAAUCCCUAACUGACACGUUCCUCCUGGAUAAAUGGGCAAACAACAAAACAAAACUGGCAGCGAGGCUGACAAACAAAACUAGUUCCUCCAUCUCUAUGUGUGGUUUCUUCUAGCACUGGCCCACUGCUCCAGACAAAUCCUAAUUCCCCUUCACUGUUAUUUAAUCUCAGUGGAAGCAGCAUUUAGGGGGAUUCAGAAGUUAACCACCAGCGUUCUGCUUUCCUUCUACCUUAAUGCCCGGAUGAAAAUAAAUGAGAACGAAUUAACAACUAAUAAAAAGAAGCAGCAGAUUCCAACUCAAAAAAAAAAAAAAAAAAGCUAAGUAAGUCAGAUCCUACAUCCAAACAGGCCGGGUCAAAGACAUGAACUCCCAUCUCCCAGGCAGCGCUGCAGCUCCCUGGCACACAGCUUUUAUUUUUGGCCUUGUUCAUCAGGCUGACCUUCCCCAUGGAUAAUUUCUCCUAGACAGAGCCCAAAUUAGGAAUAAAUAUGUAGUACUACACCCAUAGCACUAAUAAACUACAACUGCUGCUGCUCCUCACUAUACCACAAAGCAGUUCUCUGGCAUUGGGAAACUACGAUCCUUAUGAUAAAAGAUAGCUUUUUUUCUUCUGUUACCUCAAGUAGCCAAAUACUAUUAGCAGAGGACUAAUUGUAACUUCAAAAGGUUUAUAUCAAGAGGUUCCCUCUCUGGUGCUCCCAGUACCUCCAGCUGUUGCUCUCAGUGUGCACAACAGCUCACCUGGGGAAGCAGCAUGGUUAGAAGGAGCGCUGGGUCAGCACCUGCCUUUGGGGGCCGGGCUGAUAAGCAUCUUGGCUUUCUUCUUGUUCUUAAGCAGAUGAUAAUUUCUGGUUAAAUUAUCUCUGUGGCAAUUCCCACACCCCCACCUGUGUUCCUUUACCUGGAUUACAGCAUUACCCGGAUCCACGCUAGAAGUGUAUUUUCCCAUUAUGUUAACUGAUGAUUUGUACAUUUUAGUUCUUGCCUAGGGGACAUUUUACACUAAUACAGUUUGCCCUCUUAAAUUUUUCCUUAUAUCUUUUGGGAGGAAUUUCGCCAAAAGCUUUCCCAAAGUUCACAUAAAUGAAUCUGUAAUAGAAUUUGUUAGAUUUUGCAUCCCAAUAGCCUGGAGAAGUAAGAUGCUAUUUAAAUCUACAUGGGCGUACUGAAUCUCCUGUCUAUACGUGAUCACAUUGGCUCUAUAGAAAUUUCAGGGCAGCUUCUAUUAAUUUACCUGUUGCUGAAGUAGAGAUUCAGUGGCUUAAAAUAUAAAGGUAACAAGAGUGGAAACGCUAAUUAUAAGCAGUGGUUACCCACAAGUCCUCCUAACAGCCUGGAAGGAAGCCAGAACCGCAAGUGACAGUACACAAGAAAUGAAGCACUGCUGACCAAAGAUGCCAGGAAUAGUAAAUGUUUGGCUGGGCAGUGAUUUGACAGAUAACUUUGUGAUUCAGUCUGUUUCAAUGGGCUACUAUAAAGGAAUUCAUCAUGAAAAUAGUGACACCCAGCAUUACAAAAACACAGUGGGACUGCUAAGCAGCUUCCUUAAAGAGUAUUUCAAAAAUAAAACACAGAAGCUUGUGUCCUUUUGCAAUACACACCGAAGAAAAAAAAGAGGAUUAUGGUACUUUGCCAUAUUUUUCCUGGCAUUUUAAGUCCACUCCUUUACUCCUGAAAGGUUUUGCAGUGGUACCCUUUUUGGAGAUACCUUACAAUUCAUUCACAAAAGCCCAACGACAAAGUCCAUACACUUUAACAAAUAGAACUGUCUUAAACAACACAGUUUUUCUCUUACCCACUGCUGUCUCACUUAGAUGUCUUUUCUUUCUUCCUUCCGACAGCUGCUCAGAUGUUCCUGACACUGAUUGAGAUUUGGAAUUAGAUAAACAGCUAUUGUUCCAUCGUUUAAGAGCAACAUUAUGGUGAUUAUAGUCUACAACAGAAAAAGCAAAUAUCAAGUGAACUUAUUCUCCAUGGCUGCAAUUCCAGGCAAUCUCACCUGGUGAACUAUUUACAGCGGAAAAGGCAAACUUCAGAUAAGCAUUUUUUAAAUGGAUGGACUCUCAAAGCUCCAGAGCCACUACUUCUGUGUGCACAAGGAUGUAGCAGGAACAACAGAGAAGGCCAGGAAACCUGGUAAGUCAACUAUCUCCCUUUCUAUGGUGUUCUGCUGUUAAAGGAGUGAUGCUUUGCUUGAGUUAUUGUUCACUGGCUAUGAAUCACAUUUUUUUCCCACUCAAAACACAAAGGAAACACUUUAAAACCAUUAAACAGCAUACAAAUCCUAAUGAUAUUGUGUAACUACUCUGCAGCCACUAAAUCAAAACAAAGAGCUCUUCUAUCAGUCCACAUGUCCUUCCCUAACUGCUGCACUAACAUGUUAUGAACACGUAGACAAAAAUAAGAAGAAAAAAAAAUCAGAGCCAAAGAAUAUUUGUCUACCUUCUGUAUGGGACACAAUGCCAAAUACCGAACACCACAGCUGGUAAAAGGGGCAUGAAGUUUGCAAAAAGGAAUGUUACUAAGGAUCUCCAGCAGGAAGAAGACUAGGCUCUGAGCCAACAUGCCACCUAAUGCGAAG
rnacentral:lncRNA from 1 species